CUGGUGCAGAGCAGUUCUGGAAAAGGGCAAGAGGUGCUUGGGAGCUCCAGCCUGGUAAGCCUCCAGGCUGCAGACCUUAGUGAAGGCUUACAGAGGUACAGGGGCUGCAGAGAUACAGCCUGGGAAUAGG